CCAUUUUGUAGUUUACACGAUUUUUCUCAUUGAUGGAUUAAUCUGAGAAUCCACUGACCUCAACAGUAGCUUCUGGACUGACUCAGCUCCCUGCCUUCUCAUAGUGAGUGCUUAGACAAACAUCUGCUGGAGAAUUAAGACCUGUAAGAAAAUAUGUAUUUAAUUUGAAUAACAAAAUAGGCCGGGCAAGUGGCUCACGUCUGUAAUCCCAGAACUUUGGGAGGCUGAGGCGGGCGGAUCACCUGAGGCUUGGUGGCACACGCCUGCAGUCCCAGCUACUCAGGAGGCUGAGGCAGGAGAAUCUCUUAAGCCCCGGAGGCAGAGGUUGCAGUGAGCUGAGAUCAUGCCGUUGCACUGGAGCCUGGUUGACAGAGUGGGACUUCAUUUCGAAACAAACAAAAAAGCUUAAAUAACAAAAUGAAAAUAACCUCUCU
rnacentral:lncRNA from 10 species